rnacentral:rRNA from 1 species
UACGAAGGGGGCUAGCGUUGUUCGGAUUUACUGGGCGUAGAGCGCACGUAGGCGGAUUGUUAAGUCAGGGGUGAAAUCCUGGAGCUCAACUCCAGAACUGCCUUUGAUACUGGCAAUCUUGAGUCCGGAAGAGGUGAGUGGAACUCCUAGUGUAGAGGUGGAAUUCGUAGAUAUUAGGAAGAACACCAGUGGCGAAGGCGGCUCACUGGUCCGGUACUGACGCUGAGGUGCGAAAGCGUGGGGAGCAAACAGG